GGCUAAUUUUUUGAGUGCUGUUGCUGAUUUAGAGGAGAAUGAUUUUCUCUUGGUGGUUUCAGAAGGAUUCACGGUGUGUGGAGGAUCUGAAAUGGCAGCAGUAGUGGUGGAGCAGCAGGAGGCCCAAUAGGACAGCAUUGGGUAGCUGAUCUUGUUUUCAAUUUUUAUCUUCUGUAGGUGCACCAGAAGGGCUAAGUAUUUAGGUGGAGGACCAGCC
rnacentral:lncRNA from 1 species